UUAUUAUAAUAGUAUAUAAUUAUGUUAUGUUCUCAUUUUAUUUGUUCGUAAUAUAUUUGACUCGCCUCUUGGUAUAGUGGUUAGUGUAGUUUAGUAGCCAGUCCAUUGAAGUAGUGGCCUAUUCAUGCAGUCUUGAAGUAGUAAGAAUGGCGCUGUAUAUAUAUAUAAAUAACGCUUGAAAUCUCAUGAGCUUAAAAUAGAAAUAACAGGUUUUGAAAAUUAAAUUAGCCUAAUUUAAAACCCAAUUCUUUUCCAGAAAAAUACCCAUACGAAAUAAUAAAAUCACAGAAAGGGAAGGACUUGAUUUUCAUCGGUGGUUAUACGUUUGCAAAAACAGGUGUAGGGUAAAGUACCUUUAGUCGUACCAGCGCUUAAGUCGUACCACGUCGAUAUCUGCGCACCCGUCAUGAAAAGGUGGCAUCUAACAGUGCAAUAUGGUUCUACUAAGUACCACGGGUAAACAGCAACACGUGGUGGGUUGCCGGAAUUCGCGAUCAAAAAAUAAUGAAAAAGUGAUCAAUAUGGCAAAGAAAAUUUAUAACUCUUGGAAGCAAGAUGACAUAGAUGAACACAAAAAGGAACACAAUUCACAAAUAAAAAAAGAAAGAUAGACAGAAAAUCUAACAAAGAUAAGAAACUAGAUGCUAAAGAAAAUUGGUUGUGCAAACUAACAACACUAAACAAGAUCGCAAAGAAAAUAUGACCCUAUGUAUUAAAUGCAAAGGAUGGGUACAUGAUUUAUGUGCAGAUCUCGAAAUUAAAACUAAAAAUUACAUUUGUGAUAUAUGCAUUUUAAAAAUGAUAGUUUUAUUUCCCAAAGGUACUCAUUAUUACGAAACUACUACUAACGUUUUUUUAUUGUUAUAUUUAUAAGUAAGACUGAAACUGGUCUCGUAGCAUAUAAGUCUACGCAGUUUUUUAAUUGUCCUUAGAAUUCUAGUUGGAAAGAUAUAUGUUUACUCUAAGUACGACUUAGGCUAUGGGUGGUACGAUUAAGGCAACCGGUUGCCUAAGUCGUACCGAAGGAAGGUUUUUGUAAAACCUAUAAAAAACAUUUUAUUAAAAGAUUUUUAUAUGUCUU